rnacentral:rRNA from 1 species
UACGUAGGGGGCAAGCGUUGUCCGGAUUUAUUGGGCGUAAAGAGCGUGUAGGCGGCCAGGUAGGUCCGCUGUGAAAACUCGAGGCUCAACCUCGAGAGGUCAUCGGAAACCAUCUGGCUAGAGUCCGGAAGAGGAGAGUGGAAUUCCCGGUGUAGCGGUGAAAUGCGCAGAUAUCGGGAAGAACACCUAUGGCGAAGGCAGCUCUCUGGGACGGUACUGACGCUGAGACGCGAAAGCGUGGGGAGCGAACAGG